UUCCAGCUCCAAUAGCGUAUAUUAAAGUUGUUGCGGUUAAAAAGCUCGUAGUUGAAUUUGUGUCUCGCACUGUCGGUUCACCGCCCGCGGUGCUAACUGGCAUGUUUGCGAGACGUCCUGCCGGUGGAUGGUACGUAAAGUGAAGAUCUUUACGGGUUUUCAUUUUGCUCAUCCGACUUUUUAAAUCCUGUCGCGGUGCUCUUAACUGAGUGUCGAGGCGGGCCGGCACGUUUACUUUGAACAAAUUAGAGUGCUCAAAGCAGGCUAAUUAAUGCCUGAAUAAUUAGUGCAUGGAAUAAUGGAACAGGACCUUGGUUCUAUUUUGUUGGUUUUCGGAACCCCAAGGUAAUGAUUAAUAGGGACAGAUGG
rnacentral:rRNA from 3 species